UGCAAGUCGAGCGAGAAGCUUAAGAUUGACACUUCGGUUGAUUUCUUGAGUGGAAAGCGGCGAAAGGGUGAGUAACGCGUAGUUAUCUGCCCCAGGGUCUGGAAUAGCCUCGGGAAACUGAGGGUAAUGCCAGAUAAUAUCUCCGGAUCAAAGGUGUGAUUCCGCCCUGGGAGGAGACUGCGUACUACUAGCUUGUUGGUGGGGUAAAGGCCUACCAAGGCUACGAUGGUUAGCGGGCGUGAGAGCGUGGCCCGUCACACUGGGACUGAGACACUGCCCAGACGCCUACGGGUGGCUGCAGUCGAGAAUCUUCGGCAAUGGACGAAAGUCUGACCGAGCGAUGCCGCGUGCGGGAUGAAGGCCCUCGGGUUGUAAACCGCUGUCAGUUGGGAGGAAGGCUCCGUGAAGAGCGGAGUUUGACCUAUCUUCAGAGGAAGUACGGGCUAAGUUCGUGCCAGCAGCCGCGGUAACACGAACCGUACGAACGUUAUUCGGAAUUAUUGGGCUUAAAGGGUGCGUAGGCGGCGUUGUAGGUGGGGUGUGAAAUCCCUCGGCUCAACCGAGGAAUUGCGCCCCAAACCACAGUGCUAGAGGGAGACAGAGGUAAGCGGAACUGAUGGUGGAGCGGUGAAAUGCGUUGAUAUCAUCAGGAACACCGGUGGCGAAAGCGGCUUACUGGGUCUCUUCUGACGCUGAGGCACGAAAGCCAGGGGAGCGAACGGGAUUAGAUACCCCGGUAGUCCUGGCUGUAAAC
rnacentral:rRNA from 1 species